GGCCAAACAAGUUUAGCAGCAGUGUCGAUCGUUCUGUGCCACAGUCCAACAGGACUGAGAUACCAAUGGUUAAACUAGCGAUAGAACAUACUGCUAUUGCUAAAUAGAAAUAACCAAGCACCUGCACUUUGGAGCAGGACUUGGGCUGGUCCUAGGACUUGGACUAGGAGAGGCUGGUGAAAGAAAGUUGUUUCUUCACUCAGCUGAUUCUGCUUACUGCUGAGGGUAACUUUACAGGUGAGCAAAGCUUGUGGGGUAGACAGAAAUGCCGAUCUAUUUUUGGGUUUGCUCCUUUGGGUACUACAUUUGAAUGCUUUGAUACUUUCCAGAACAAGCUUUGGGCCGGAAACACUUCAGCAACUUUUGUUUGACACACAAGCUCCAUGUGGGUCUCCUUGCACCAUGCUACUGCAAGCAGAAAUCCUGGGCAGAGUGGUGCAAAGAUGUCUGAGUGGCAGAAAGCAAAGCUAAAAUGGCUCUGCACUGAAAUUAACAAAUAGAAGAGCAGUUGGCUUCAAUACUUGAUGCUGACCUGAUGGUUUUAAGCUGCCAUUUAAAAAUAAGCAGAAGUGUAGUCAUUAAGGACAAAAUCUCUCCUUGGACAUAUGUAGAUGACUUAGCAAAAUCUGUGCUAACAGCUGAAACCCUAUUGCACUAUGAUUUUUUAAAACAGUUUAUCACACCCAUAAAGUCAACAUCUGCUUUGCUCUUCGAUGAAUGUACUCCAGGAGCUAUUUCAGACAAUUGUGGAGUUGCCUUGAGAGAUUGUUAUCUGGUAUUGUUUCUCUUGCAGUGAAGUAUGAUACUAUAGCAUGUGGAAAUCUACUGUUCAGUGUGUUUUCUGCCAGGAUUCAUCCCGCGUAAUGCUAGCUGCUUGGUCAGGCUGCCUGAAAUAGCAAAGUCUCACUCCUGGCUCCUGCUGUAGGUAUCUGAGCAGUCUUUGUUAUGUCCUUUUGUGCACCGCGACGUAUGACUGAUUCACUGCCAAGAUGCAUCCAUCCUUCAGACCCUGAACAAAGUCUCCCAGGCCAGUGACUGCUCCCAUGGGUAUCUGGGAGAUGUACCUGGACAAGGGUGGAGUCAAUCAGGGCCUUGCAGUUUCAGGUAGCCCCGUGCAACAAUGAGCAACAUUACAGCGGGAUGUAAUGGCCGUAAGUUUCUCUAGGGGAGGUUCAAGUUGGAUAUUAGGAAAAAUUUCUUCUCAGAAAGAGUGAUGAAGUAUUGGAAUGGGCUGCCCAGAGAGAUGGUGGAGUCACUGUUCCUGGAGGUGUUCAAGAAAAGGGUAAGUGUGGCACUGAGGGACAUGGUUUAGUGGGAAUGAUGGGGAUGGGUUGACUGUUGGACUAGAUGGUCUUAGUGGUAUUUCCAACCUUUACAAUCUAUGCUAGUGGCAGGUCUUACUUUGCUGUACUGCAGUCAUAUGGAAGAUGAGCAAGCUGUCUUCAUAUUGCUUGGGCUGUCAGGGUACAUCUACACAGCGGCUCAUCUUAUUUGUGAUGGACACUCUUCUGAAGAUAAGUAUCUUUGCCCUUUGAAGAUACUUGCCUCCCUUCACUGACCAAGAGGUUCGCGGGACAACUGAUUUGAACUACACAGCCAGUCUUUAGAUGACAAAUGGAAAGGUGAACGCACUCUCAAUGAGCAGAUAAACGUCCCUCUGGAAUGUUUCCUGAGACAUUACCACUGGUAGCUCUGGAUGAAGUCAUGCAUUUUAGGAAGGGAUCUGCAUGACAUAGCAGUCCAAAUGUAGCUGAGGAAGAUUGUCCUGUAUAGAAAAGAAAGCCCGAAUGCACUGUCCCUUCGGCUGUUUUGAUUUGUUUUGUUUUGUUUAGUUAAAGCAUCUGCCAGAAAAGACAAGUAAGUACAGAAAAGAACUUCUGUUUUUUUGGUGUACUUUUACAACCAUUCACUAGCCUAUUUUUUAAGUAUACCUGCAUGAAAAAGUGUAUUUCCACAGUAUGCUUCCUGCAGCACAUUCAUUUUUAUGUACCUUGUUGUUUGAUGGUUCAUUUCCCCUUGUCCUCCUAAAACAGUGUAACACACCUUUUAAAAUCAUCAUCAAAACUGAACUAAAAUCUGACUCUGGCUCAGACAAUUCCUAAUACUGUUUGUACUGAUGUAGUGUGUCACUUCAAGGCAAAAUCUUCUCCCCAUGUAAUAUUAUAUUGCUGAGAUACUUUCCCACAUAUGGCAGAUAACAAAGUGCUGAGAAGGCAUGAGACAGAAGAGAUCUAAUGGAAGGAAAUGCAGCAGAGUCCUCCUACAGAAAAUUACAGGCUUUUAAAUGUGACUUGCAGAGUAUUUUUUAAAUGUGUUUAUAUCCCAUUUGUGUUUCCUUGUGUUGCACAAAGAAAGCUUGAAACAUGCUAUUUUCUCAAAGCCAGUAACAAUUUCAAAAAGGAAGUGUCUUUUAAAGAGCAAAUGUCGUAUCUGCUGUGGACAACAGAACAGCUGUGAGAAACACAUACCCGGCUCAGAAACCCUUUGCCAACUGUUUGUGCUUCCAGCUCUCUCCUAACCACAACCAUUCAAGUAUAUGUUGUUCAGAGGGGGAGAGAGGCCCUGACAGUUAUGUAUAUAAAAUAGGCUAUAAUUUUGCAGCACAAUGAAGAGUGAAGAGAAAUAAUAUUUUUCACUAAGCAUCUCCUUGUUUUUCACAGGACUUAGCUCCAGGAAAGACCAUUAGUUAACUUCAUAUCCAAGCCUAUACCUUUGUAUAUCCUUUUAGAAACCAGGGAAAAACAAAGUGUGGGGAUGAAGGAAGACACAGAGACAGUUUUAAGUGACAAAUAGUGGGGUGGAACAGAAGGAGGCAGUGACAUGCAAUCCCCUUCUGGGACUUGCAAAGGAUUGCAGAUACGCGGUGGUCACACCUGCCAGCUCACCCAUGUGUCCUGGGGCUUGUUAAUGAGCCCUUUGCUAGAGAUGUAGCUCUCAUUCUGUCAAGAGCUGGAAAGCUUCAAUCCAUUUUCUUCAGUAGUGCGGCUCUCAGUCAUGAGUCACAUCACUCUAAGAAUAAAACUACAUCCAAGUUAACCCCUCCAUCACCUCCUAUGUCUUUUCAGAACCUUCACCAAGGAGGUUUUGGUUUACUGGAUCUUGAACAGCCAAAAUAUCAGAGGAUUAUUACUGCUUGGAGUUCACUUUAUUGUUGAGAUUGCCAUGUCAUCUUCUGAUCCGAGAAGCGGCGAACAUCACAAAAGCUGAAAAUGAAGUCUUUUCUGCUCUGUGGGGCACCUAUCCAAAAUGACUUGGCCUCCGGAGAUAAGCAAUAAGUAACGGAUACACUGAUUUAUUUUUCUUCGGUACUGAAACUAAGAACUGACAAUUCAAAUGCAGAGGUUAGAGGCUUGAUUCUUUAUCAUAUCAGUUUUGCACUGGAAUAACUGAUACGGUGAGGUAAAGAGGCAGGCCUGGUAUAUACCUGCCUUGUGUCAGAACUGCUUUAGCCAUUUCUGGUGAAAGAGUUUCCAAAGAGUCCCUGUAGAGUUGAGAUAAAACAGUAAUUAUUUAAUGCUGAAGGUUAUGAUAAUGUUAGAGAUUAAUGUCAGAGCUUAGGCUUUAAAUUAUUGCAUGUUAGGAUGACAAGGGUGUUUUUAGAAGUUUUUUUCUCGUUGGUACUCUGUACAGCAUCCCACUGAAACUGUUUUCAUCCACACUGUCUUCCCAUCCUGGUCUGUCCUGCAGCUGAGCGCACAGCAAGCCUCACUCAUCGUUUGGCAUAGGAUCCUGAUCACCUUCAGUGCAUACACUGCACACCUCUAGAUCAUAGAAUCAUAGAAUCAAAGAAUCCUUGGAGUUGGAAGGGACCUCUGAAGGCCAUCUAGUCAUCAACUCCCCUGCAAUGAACAGGGACAUCCACAGCUAGAUCACGUUGCCUAGGGCUUGAUCCAGUCUCUCUUUGAAAGUCUCCAUGGAUGGGGCAUCAACCACAUCUCUGGGCAACCUGUUCCAAUGCCUCACCACCCUCACUGUAAAAGACUUUUUCCUUAUAUCCAACUUAAAUCUACCCUCUUUGACCUUGAAACCAUUUCCUCUUGCUCCGUCACCACAGGCACUGCUUAAGAGUCUGCCACCUUCUUUCCCAUAGCCCCCCUUUAGAUACUAGAAGGCCACUAUCAGGUCACCUUGUAGCUUCUCUUCUCCAUGUUGAACAGUCCCAGUUCUCUCCACCUGUCCUCGUAGGAGAGGUGUUCCAUUCCAUGGAUCAUUUCUGUGAUCUUCCCUGGGAGCACUCCAACAGGUCUAUGUCUCUCCUGUACUGAGGACUCCACAUCUGGAUGCAAGAUAUGAAGAUCUUUCUUCUCCUCAGGAAUAAGUCUCUCCCUCCUUGGAGAUCACCAAAAACUGCCUGAAUGUGGUCCUGGGCACCCUGUUCUGGGCCCUUGCCUACCAACAUCCACCAUUCCACGAAUAAAGGGCCUUGGUUGUAGCUCUGUGAUGACAGUACUGAAAUGCGUCCAUCCCCUGUGAUAAACAGCAGAUUCAUGAACUUUGGGAUUUCCAACUUGGCCACUGAAUAGGUUUUCUGUGUGUGGUAUUGAGUGUCAGCUAGGGGUGGGGUAUAGAAAAGUCACACCAAUAGUCUACCAAACCGUCUCUAUGCACAGCCUUGAUGGAGAAUGUUUUGUGUCAUGUCACUUCAGCUAUACUGGAAGAAACAAUUUUUUUUUACAUUUGCUGUGCUUCUACUAGAAGCCUCUGUUAGCAUAACUAAUGACAAAACCAUUUCAGUGGUGAUGGGCAGCAAAACAACGUACUGCGGGACAAGUGGUUCUAAAUUUAUCCAAUAAUCAAAAACAUCAAAAUCACUAGAUACCAAUACCUAUACAUUAUCCGCUAUCCUGUUAUUUUGUCCAGUCCUGCACUGCUCUACUCAGUCCUUCCUCCAGGGCUGUUAGGGUUGCUGCAGUGCCUCUGCCUUCCAGGUUACCCACCUUCCAGGUUACAGGUGGGAUGCAAUUGAAGGGAUCCUCUACCUCUCCAUUUUCCUCUUCCCUCUUCCCUCUCCCACUGAGACUUUAGGAUCCUAAGACUGAAAAUUAUAUUCGUACACCCCACAAAAAGGAUGCGGUUAGAAAUUAGUAUUUUUUAAAAGUACGAAGCUAGACAUAAAUAGAAUUCCAGCAAUUUUAAAAUAAAUGAAAUGUAAAUCCCUAAAUGCCAUUUGUUCUCUCUGGAUGUAUUUCUUUGCGUUUGUAAAAAGAUCAUGUACACGGUUUUGUCAUUUAACUGCUAGUUAAAUGUGCCAGAAAAAGAAAGCUGAAGAAUUAAAUUUCAUUAUAAUUAACAGAACAAAUAUAAUUAGAAUUUUAGUAGUGCAAGUUGCCAUGCUCCUUCAGGUGUCCUGGUAGUAUUUUGAGUUAGAUAACUUUUCAACUCUUCGUUUCUUAGCUGCUGAGGAGCUGCUCCCACACACCGCGGAUGUGUCCAAACACGCUGUCUUUGCCAUGCAAGAAUGAAUUCACAAGGACUUGUAAUUGUAUCAGAACUGAUUUUAUGCCAAACAGCCAACCAUUAUUAAUGACUUCGAGUCAUUACAGUCCAACAUGGAUAUGUCCUGGAUUUCUGGUGCCUGGGAUAUUUUCCAGCUCAAAUUAAUGGUUUCUGAGUGAUGCGAAAAACUGAAGGUUUGUGAGUUGCUGUAUGCAAUCCAUGUUCUUUUCUAUACACUUCUGAUUCAUCUCCGAUGCUGUGUCUUUUCAUCUUUCUCAGUGAUACAUGCUUUUGAUUUUCGAGUAUCUUGGGCCAAAACUCAUCAGUCAGAUUUUAUCAUCCUCUUAUACUCCCUUUAACUCUUCCCAUAGUGAAGAUUUCAAAAGCAAUCUAGAAAUUCUCUCAAUAUCUACAUGAGAGCCAGGAGUAGGAAAUUUAUAUCUUUCUGUAUUUCUCCUCAGGACGGAGUAGAGUAGACAAACGUUUCCUGGAAAGGGAUUCUUUUUGACCAGAAAUUUGAGUAAAUUUCUCAUCUCUUACAAGAUACGAGUGGAUUUGAGUUGUAAGAAAGUCACAUUAUUUGUCAUCAGAUCUACUGGUGUAUAGAUUUGAGUAGACUCUCUAAAUGUUUCUUCAACCCACUGUAGGCUGUCUCCGUAUUUAAACCACAAAGGGUGUAUAAUCUUUGAAAAAAGGUUGAAAGCAUCUUCCUACUGUGACAUUUUUAUGUAGAAAGCUGACUGCUGUGGGGCUGAGUCUGUGUUGGAAAAAAGUCAUUUUCAAAGAAGAUAAAAUUCAGACUUUUACUUUCAGUGAUUUGAAUGGUGAACUCUUUGAAAUUAUGUUUCUUGUUUCUCAUCUUUAACAAGACUGACCAGCAAAUGGUUCUGUAAACAAAUGAUUGCCCUAUUAAAUGAAAUUUAUUAUGCUAAGGCAUACAACGGUGAGUGAACUUUUUUACUUUUUUUUUAAUCCUCAUUAUUAUUUAUUAUUUGGUAUUUUUCUACAAAAGGAGGAGAGAACAAUAUAUUCAGAAAGCACUUUUCAUACUUUUUUGUCUUGCUCACCUGCAGGAAUGUUGGCUGUAAUACACAGGCAGGCCCAGAGGAGGGCUGUGAAGAUGACCAGAGGGCUGAAGCACCUCUCCUAUGAAGGAUGGCUGAGGGAGCUGGGCUCCUUUAGCUUGGAGAAAAGAAGGCUCCAGGGAGACAUCACUGCUGCCUUCCAGUACAUGAAGGGAGCUUACAAGCAGGAGGGGGACUGACUUUUUAUGUGGUCUGAUAGUGAUAGAACAAGAAGGAAUGGUUUUAAACUAAAAGAGGGGAAAUUUAGGUCGUAUCUUAGAAAGAAAUUCUUUACUCAGAGGGCAGUGAGGCACUGGCACAGCUGCCCAGAGAAGCUGUGGGUGCCCCAUCCCUGAAGGUGUUCAAGGCCAGGUUGGAUGGGGCCCUGGGCAGCCUGAUCCAGUUGGUGGCAGCCCUGCCCAGGGCAGGGAUUGGAAGUAGGUGUACUUUUAUGCCCCCUCCAACCUAAGCCAUUCUACGAUUCGAUGAUACAAGAGUGUAUGGGAACAAUUAGGUCACAGCCUGAACUGAUGAUUGAGCAGCUGGUGAAGGAGCAUAGACAGACCUGGGAGCACAGGUGCAAGCAAUUCACCUGAGUGACCGAAAGUGGUGGACUCUGGGUCCCCACCUCCCUAAUCUCACUUAAGUGCUGGCAGCCAAAGGAGAAGCAUCUCUACUUCGACAUUACUUCUUUUGGGAGUUUUCCCUGCAAACCCUUAUCCUUGGAAAAGGGUAAACUGUUCCUUUUUUGUUACUGAAUUAUGAUCAAUACCUUUCUUGGAUGACCUGAAAAUUGUUUAAUGGCAGCUAUAUCCUCUACCUUAUACAAUACAAAGGGUAUAUUUUUUUCUUGUUUAUAGGAAGAGUGCUCUGCCUGGGCUCCUUUACCGUGGCUAUUUAAUGGCUGAAAAACUGAAAAAAGAACUAUGUUUUCUUCACAAGCUGCGACCUUCCUAAAGUAAUCAUCUAGCACAAGUUUGCCUCCUGGACUAUUCCAGAAAUUGAUCUUCCAGUAACUGAGAGAACUCAAAAAUACCCAAUGCUGAUGUGGCUUCAGUAGUCAUUGUGGUCUCUUCCUCAGAAGAAAGUCUGAAAAUAGGGGUCCCCACAGGGUUUUGUUCUGUAGUUUACAGAGGCUAUAAAUAUAUUAAUCAACCCUAAUGAUUCUCCAGAAUAUAUUCACUUCAAUACUAAUGGCUAGAUUGCCCCAUAAUGAAGAGAGAUUUUAUGAUAUUUUUGUCUAGUUCUAUUGCACUUUUAGUGGCUGGAGAGAUUCCAUUUAAGUUAAUCUCGUGUCUCUCCUUCAGGAAGCAAGGUCAUGUCCAGUAUCAGUUAAAUAUAUGGCACUACGCCUAUCAAGACUUUUGGAUCUUGCAGUUCCAGGGGCAGAUUUCAACACACGCAGUCCUUUACUAAUAUUAAAUAGCAAAAUUGCCUUAAGGAUCAUUAAAACCGUUGUGAUUUUUUUGUGCAUCUGCUGUUUGUCUCUCAGUGGAAUCUGACCUCUCCUUGCUUUGUGUGCCUUGAAGGGUAAGACUUCUUUGAUGUUCUCUCUCUGUAUUCACUCUUCAGUGCAGUCCCUACUGCUCCUGGAACAGCUGUUCCUCUGCUGCUCAAUCUCAGUUCUUUGGCUUCUUUCACCCUGUCUGUAAACAUGGCUGUAUGUUCCAAAUAAGCUUUCCAACACUCAUUCUCUGCUAGCAUUUAUCAGACCUUAUUAGUUAGUGUUAGUAUUUCCAAGUCCAGUUUGCCAAUGGUCUUUCCUAGCCAAGUGGGCUUCUUUCUAUUCACAUCCUCCUUAAAGCUGCUUUAGGACCACUGGCACUUCACAUCUCCACCGUAUCCUUCAGUGAGCCUGCAUUCCUGCUUUCUGCUUUUACCUCCUGAACCUCCUUGUUCCCUUCAGCACCUCCUCUGGCAGAUCCUCCCACUCCCUCUCCACUGUCUGUUGGCACCCUUCAGAUUUUCACCCUCGGUCCUCCUCCCUUCAUCUUUGUAGUACCUAUUUUGGCUAACUCGUCCUCCCCAUCAGUUUCUGUUACUUAUAACUCUUUUCCUCCUGUUGUGAAUUUGUUGCUUCUUUGAUAUUGCACUGCCAUCCUAAACUCUCUUUUGAUGGGGCUUUCUUAGCUAUCUCAAGUACGCUCUUUUCUCCCGCUUUAAGUUAUUGUACCAUCUUCUUGUCUUGCAGCUCUAAUGUCAGUGUUGAUUUCUCAUUCUCUCCUUAUGUCUCUAUCUACACAGUUAUUAAAUCAGAUUUUAUUCCAUAUGACAUUAGCUAGUCUAUCCGUGGCAGUUUGUCUUCAUUGCUUCAGUACUUGUCCAUUUUUGCUCUCAUUUCCAAGCAUCUUUUUGCUAUUUUCUAAAACAAAUUAGCUAUGCAUAUGUUCACUCUUUUCUAACCAUAUCUCCCUUUAAUCCAAAUCAUUUCACCUGCUUCCUCAGUCUUACUACAUAAUCCCUUUUAAUGCUUUGGAUAACCUCUCUCCCCGAACCUCUUUGAAUUUACCUACAACCUUUUUUUUUUUUUUUUUUUUUUCCCUGCCAAGGUCCUCAUUUCAUUGUCAUUUUUUUACAGGCUUCCUGCAGUCUAGAGAGGAGGUAAUUCACUUCAUUUUGGCUUUUUAUCCUAUUUCUGUCAUUAGCAAACUAAUUAAUGAUACCUAACACCAGCAUGUGUGCUGGAGAGACUACAGUAAUGAGGUGAGACUUCCAAAAUGAACUUAUGUCCCUCCAAUUCAACACUGAUUUGUCGUUCUCUGGAAGUCUCGUAUCGGUGUUCAUAAUCUGUGAUUGGCAUCCUUUUGUGUCAGCAGCCCAGCAAGGUGGAGAGCAAAAAGGAGAAAGGGAAAGAACUUUUCUGCAUUUCCUAAGAGUGGAUUGAGUUAGAUGAAGGAAUACUCUCAUCCUAUUAUGAAAAAAAUCAAGCACUCCCCUGCAGGAGACAGCUGGGAACACUAAAAUAGUGCAAUGGGAACAUGUAGACAGCAUUUUAGCCCUGAAAUAAGCAGUGUGGCAAGUGUUGUCUUUGUCUUUUUAUGUACUGUUUUAUAGGACUGUCCUUCAUUUUGUCUUACAGCAGUAAUGUUUGUGGCACUUCAACAAAAACGGCUUUUGCAGUUAUUAAAAUGCUGAGGUGUUUACUCUCAAAUUCUUUGUUGCAGCGAUUUGUUUCUCUUGGGCACCAAUCUUUACAGAGGUGCGUCAACAAAAUUCCACGGUACUUCCUUAAUUCUGUCACUUUCUGAUUCUAAUUGCUCAGGUUGGUGCAGUAUCCUCCUGCAGACAAAGUCCCCGCUGCGUUCUUAAAGACAGUGAUGUAGCACCUUUGGUGGGCGUCUGCUGACAGCCUCAGAGGAUGGAGUUGAGGUCACUGCCCCAGUACAUGCACUGUGCGGACCUCCCGAUGUUGUCUUACCUCUCUUUGAAUGGCAAAUACUGCCACCGGGGGACAAUGCGGCGGUUAUCGGGUUUGUUGCUGCAUUUGCCAACCAGAUUCAUUUGUGACGAUGAGUUUUGUGAUAUGGACACAAGUAUACUUUAAGCUAGAUGAAGUGAGUCCAAUGGUUUCAGUGCCUUGUAGUACAUCAAGUAACCAGCAGAUGGUAAUUUUCAUUAAUGAUUAGGCUGUGCUGGAAUUUAAUUGGGCACCUUCAGCGGAAGAGCUCUGUUACAUGCAAUCUCUAGUUGUGUGCUUUCUCCAUCCUUGUUUGCAUUAAUUUUGCUGUAAUUUCAGAUGUUUCUAAGAUCUUAUUUGGUAAGUACAUGGGACUGUAUUUUACGGUCCCAUAGGAAGAUGGUGUACUACAGCUGGGUUGUUCAUAUAUUUUCAUAAUUUGCUAUAUAAAACCAUAGUGAAUGAAAAAUAGAACUCAGUAGCGCAAUAUUAGCAGAAGGCCUCCCACUCCCGUAAGAAAUGAAGUACUUAUCUCACCUUGUAGAGAAAACAUCUUUUAUUUUGCUGGAUUUACCUUGAAGCCAUAGAAGUCUGUUUCCUGUUCUGUGCCUGGUACCACCCAGCAGGAUUACAGCCUAGCAAAAAUCCAUGACAGUAAAAAAAAAAAAAAAUACAGCAAUUGAAAUUUACUGGAGAGCAGACAAUAGAAGCUGUUAAUGUGCAAGUGUGAAAAGUUCACCCAAUUUUUUAAAUUUAUCAAAUGCACAGAUGUUAAUUACUGUUUUAAACGCCCGAAGCCUGCAAGUUUUAAGUGCACAAAGGAAACUGUAGUAACCUGUUAGACACUUGUCCUUUGCUUGGACUUUUCUUUGGCACCCAGAUAAGAGAGGGCUUAAUAGAAAGGCUGACAGCACAAGUGCAUUUCUGAUGCAAAGCACCAGAGCUGGGAUGAACAGUCGGACCUUUACGAGAAGAAUGGGGCUUCUUUGUUGUGGAAAUGAAGCUGUGAUAAUGUUCCCAGACUAUAAACUGGCCGUCUGGAAUGGCAAAAACCAUAGGAGCUUUUUCAAAUUCUUUAUCAAUGUCAGCAGAUUUAUUUAUUUUUUCUUCCUGUUGGGGUUUUAGUGAAGAAAAAUGUGAAAAUUUAUGUGAGCAGUUUGAUACUGUAUGUAGCUCUUAGCAACAAGGCUGGAGAGCAGAAAGGCAAACAUUUUAUUGUCCAUUCACCAGCAGAUUAAUACUGUUAAUGAGAGAAAAUCCUGUGGACUGAGGUGUUCUGUUUCCAGAAAUUAGAAUAUUUCAAAAUGAAGCAGUCUCUGCAAAAAGAGAUCUGUGAGCAAGUAUUUCAUAAACGCCUGACUACACACUUAAUCUGUUUUACUCACAGAGCGAAAGGGGCAGAACAACCUGUAGCACUGUCUGUCUCAGGAUCUUGCAGGAGGUGCACUCUCAGAGUCACCGGCUUGCCAGAACUCUCCUGGAUUUACACACAGAAAUGCGGAGACAGAGAAAUGAAAACGAACUGUCAGCUGCUUCUGAAUCCAGAGCGCUGAAUGUUGCCGUGAGCCCAAAAUAACAAACUGUGUUUCAAGGCACAGACCCUGAAGACGAAGCACGCAUUCCUGAAAUGGUUCUGACAGCGGCGUUACGGAUAAGCUGCACGAGCUUCUUGAUCCGAUCCGGUAGCAGAACACAUGGCAUUGUUUGGAAAUCACAGACGUGUUCUAGAGAGGGUGGAGGGAAAAGAGAUGUCUGUAUCAGAGUUGGCAGUUGCACUUGUCUUUGUGGGAGAACAGGUUGCCUACAGAAUAGUGUAAGAAAGGGUCUUUUCUCUCUCUGAAGUUAUUCUUCAAUAAUUUAAUUUUGUACAUUUAGGUCCCUUCGCUGUAAGAAAGACAUUGAGGCCCUGGAGUGUGUCCAGAGAAGGGCAACAAAGCUGGUGAGGGGUCUGGAGCACAGGCCUUAUGAGGAGCGGCUGAAGGAGCUGGGAUUGUUCAGUCUGGAGAAGAGGAGGCUCAGGGGAGACGUUAUUGCUCUCUAUAACUACCUGAAGUUGUAGUGAGCUGGGGGUCAGCCUCUUCUCCUGUGUAACUAGUGAUAGGACUAGAGGGAAUGGCUUCAAGCUGUGCAAGGGAAGGUUCAGGCUGGAUGUUAGGAAAUAAUACCCCUCUGAAAGGGUGGUCAGACACUGGAAUGGGCUGCCCAGAGAGGUGGUGGCGUCACCGAGCCUGGUGGUGUUCAAAGAACAUUUGGACAUUGUGUUGAGGGACAUGGUUUAGUGAGAACCAUUGGUGAUGGGUGAAUGGUUGGACUGGAUGAUCCUGUGGGUCUUUUCCAACCUUUGUGAUUCUAUGAUUCUAUGAUUUUUUAGUCCUUAUUUUUGCCUUCAAGUGUCUCUCCCCGUUUCACCAGAACACCUGUCACUGCUUGGAUUUAAUGCUUUGUAACUCGCUUUGAAGAUCCACAAAUGACACUGAUGCCAUGCAGCAUUUUAGCUUUCCUUCCUAGAUUCUAACAGCUAAAGAAUCUGAGGAUGAUUCAUAAACACAGAAAUGUGUAGGUAAUAAAAAUCAGUGCAUAUAAAAUGUAUGUAACUAUAAAAUUUAACUUCUAGCUAUAAAAACUAAUAUCUACAGGCAGAGGAGAAGCACUUAUUAACCCUCUUACUGUAUUCAGGGCUUUUAAGGAGGUUUGUGGAAUGAACAAAUUUUACACUCAUUUUGGUAAAUGUGCCAAGGAAAGACCAUAUGGUGUUCUGCAGGCAUAAAAUCUAUUAUAAACUCCGUAUCCACUUCUCAGCUACUUUCUCAGAGCAGACAAUGAGGACCCGCAGGCGGUUUGUUACUUGGGAUUCAUGCAUGCUCCACACUCCUGGGCUCCUCCUGCAGAUCUCCACGCUUCUGGAGAGGUGUGAGAAAGCUGUACCUUGUGAUCCAGUACUCACGUUAACUGUUGUCCCCUGACAGUGUGCCUUCUGCAUCUUCCUGGGAAAACACAGUUCUGAGGCAGGGCAGGUUUUAAUGCAUGGAGCAAGACACGAUGCUAAAAUUCCCAUGGUUAGAGAAAGCUGUGAGUGGGUUUGGAGGAUGUUUGUCCCAAGCUGCCCUUGGUCACUCAGUGCACCCUAUUACUGCUCCAGAUUUGGGGGAAGAUGGAAAGCAGAGAGUGUUAUGCUUCAAACAGUGUUAUGGGCAAAAGGGAAACACAUUUGAAUCCCAUGAUUUCUUGUUAGCGUGAUUUAAAUCUGUCUUAGUUUCAGCUGGGAUGGAAUUGUUUUCUUCAGAGUGUCUGGCAUGAUGCUGUGUUUUGGUUCCAGGAGAAAAACAAUGUUGAUAACACACCGAUGUUUAUAGUUGCUGCUAAGCAGUGCUGCAGAGAGCCAAGGCUGUUCUCAGUGAAGGGCCCAAGGAGCUGGGAGAGGUCAGAAUUAGGACAGCUGACUUAAAUCGGCCAAAGACAUAUUCCAUAACACAUGACAUCAAACAGAAGGACUUUUGAAGGGGGUGGGAGUUCAUCUCACUUUGUUUCGCUGCUUGGAGGCUAGCUGGGGUUGGACAGGGAGUAGUGAGCAAUUGCUUGUGCAUCACUUUUUAUAUAUAUUCAUACCUAUAUAGUCAUCAUUAUUAUCCUUUUUCUCUGUCUUAGUAAAUAGUUGCAUUUCAACCCAUGAAUUCCACUUUUUUCCCCCUGAUUUACUCCUCCAUCCCACUGGGAAGGGAGGAGUGAGCAAAAGACUGCGUGGUGCUGAGCCACCUGCCAGGUUAAGCCAUGACACAAUCCUACCGCUCAGGUGCAGAAUCAGAUCUACCUACCCACUGCAGAAAAAGAAAUAAAACAAAGAAAUGAAUACUGCCAUGCAAGAAAGGUCUCAGUAGCCUUAACAAUACAGCUAAACGUUUUGCAAACACCUUUCUCAAUUUCUACCCCUUUUCCCAUUCUUAUCCUCACCUUUCCUCUUGGGCUUUGGGCUGGUGCAGAGCAGGUACAGCCACACCAGUCUCCUGCUGGGAGGAACACGGCUCCCAUGGCUCCUUCUUCCUCAUGCUUAGAAUCUGCAUAGGGGUCAUUUUUGUGUGGUUGCUAACACACAUCCACACCUUGCUCUUUUUAAACCUAAUUCAACUCUGUCAGUCCAUAAUGCAUCCAAAUUUACUCAAAAAGUGGUGCACGUUAGGUAUGUUUAAUACUUGUUCUUUAUUUCCCUUGUUGCUCCUGAAGGUGUUUCUGUCCAGAUGCAGCAUUUAUCUAACAGGCAGUGGGUGAACUGAUUAUAGCUGGUGGGUCUCCAGCACCAGCCUGCCCUCCAUCCCUUCUCAUCCCUUGCCUCUCUCCUCUUCACUGCACCCCAUUCACCACUUCUCAGGAGCUUUGUUAUCAUACCAACCCUGUCGUUCUCUAUACUUCAUCAUUACGUUAGUCACAAAUAUCUCAUUCUCCAUGGAGUAACUGCUUGUUACAACUGUCCGUAUAAAACUAUGCUAAUGCCAUACAAGAUGAAACAAAGCAAAAUGUAGGAAACUAAAUAAAAGCAAAACUCUGAGCAGGUCAAGACAGCCUGACAAACUGCUCCUGAGCCCUGCAGACUGCAAGCACUGUGACCAUUGCUCCAAUGGCAUCGCCCUGUUGCUGGUAUGAGGGAGCCUGCUCUGGGGGUCUUGCUCAUCACUUUACAUCACUGGGAGCUGUGUGCUGGCUGGUUUGCCCUGUUUUCCUCCCUGUCUGCGUGUGGCAGCUGGAAGAAGCAGGCAAGCCAAAAAAGUCAUAUUCUGCAACCCUUCUGUAUUUUCUGUGUAAAUGACUGUGAGUUUUAUUUCAGCCUGGCAAUGGCAGCAUUGAUGGGAGAAGCUAACAAGCAAUUUACUUCAAUGAGGACGUACUUGAGGCCCAAUUUGUUUCUGACUGAUGACAGCAGUAGUCUACCACUGGCUUCAAAGAAAGCUCGAUGAGCAUUACUCAGUGGCAGUAAUGCUGCAUCUCCUAUAGUCUGCAAUUGAAGUAGAAGAGAUACUGCAAUCUCUGUAAUUGCUUCACUGUGUAAAAAAGCUUUUGUCUUUGUAACAGGCUUUGUUUUAAUAUGAGCUAGAAGGCAUAUAAGAGUAUCUUCUGUAAUAAAAAUAGCUGUUGAUUCUUACUUCACGGGAAAGUCAGCACUGAAAAGAGAACAGGGAAAAUGUGCUUAUUUACAUAGGAGAAACUUAAAAGAAUGUUUUCAAUACCUUUCAUAAAUCAUACAUCUGAAAACUGAGAAUGGCAGUCUGUUUAGAAAUGCAAAUUUCAUAAUAAUAAAGCUGGUGAUGAUUGGAUAGCAAAAUUAAUAGGAUAAAGAAAAACCCAGCAUUAUAAUCUGUGCAGUUGAACUCCAAUGUCUUCAGUGGGGAUCUUAUUGAUGCAAGUUCCAUUCUUAAUUAAGGAGUUUAAUAUGACUUCUGAAUUUUUACUAGGCACUUUCAAAUGGUGCAUUCAUUGAGGUCUCUGUCUUUACUGGAUGGAUGUGUAGAUGUCAGCACAGCAGAUUGGUCUCAUGGCACUGUGGUCGCUUACAUUCAUCGUUACAGCAUUUGGGUGAGACGUAUUGCCCCUUUGAUAUGCAAAUACGAUAUUUUCUGCAGAUAGGAAAAAAACUGAUACUUAGAUUGGACAUUUUAAAUACUGCUGCGUACACUCUUUGCUAAAUAAUGUACAGUUUACAUAGCUUUCAUAUCUCCACAUCCCAAAUACCAUAUUAGCAUUAAUAAAGAAUACUAUGUAAAAAUUUUCCAUCACAAAGUAAAAAACAAGUUCCAAGUACGUGAGGAGGCUGAUCGUCACUUUUGUUCAUGCUGUAAACAGCUGCAUUUGUGAUCAGUAAUUGUUGCUACCGUUGACUUUAAAGGGGCUCAUGCAUUUCUUGAAAGCAAUCUAAUUGGCCUGCAAAACGAAUAUAAAUUCAUUUUUGUUUUCCUUGCUGGUCUGCGUGAAAGAUAAUGCCAUGUUUUUCAGGAUGAUCAGUCUUACACAGGCAGUAUCAAAGUAAUCUCAAACUAAUUAACGAACACUUGAGCUAUCAGAGUUUAAUAAGUAGAUAAUUGUAGACUCUCUGCCUUGCAGGGGCUGCAGCUGCCGAUACGCACAGGGUGACCUUCCUGUUUCCGAAUGCUAUUAAGUCCUAAUGGCAGGAGACCUCUGCAUCCUGAGGGAAGGAUUUAAACCACCGAAACUGCGCCGGCUGGCAGAACAGAAUUUACCAGCCCUUGGAGGAAGGCUAGAUGGAAUCUGAACAACCUCUGGGUCAGCCUGUGGCAGCAGAGGAUCCCUCCUCCCAUGGAAGAGGUGUUCGUACCGCUCAGGUGCCGCAGUGCUGCGCCGGCAGUCCCACCACAGCCCCCAGCAGAGGCACCUGGCAGGGCUGCCUCCAGCCCAGCUCAACAACACGAGCUGAACGAGCCCAAGUGCUUUCUGAAAGCACAGCUGUGCCCAGAUCGGGGCAGUUCCUGGCAUCACUAGGUGCGAUUUUUCCAUGCUCAUAGCCAGCAUAGUUACGCCUCUGAAACUUUGUAGUAGAGACCUGGCUGGAAUCCUUCAGAUCCUCGCUCUCAGCCUUGGCAAAGCAAGCCCUCUAACUCUGUUGGAGCCAAGGCAGCUCAGCUCUUCCCAUUUAACAGUCCAGACCUUGUUCUUUCAGUGACCAGAAAAGUUGUUCCUGCGGGAAUGGCUUAUCUCUCUGUUCACUGCUUCAUAUCCUGCCUAAAACACUACUAUGGGAUGUAUGGCUGCUCUACUGGAUGCCAAUAUCCAUCCUGUGCUUUUGGAAAGGCAAUUCAAAUUCUGUGCACAGGCUUCUGGCAUGCUGAAAGCUUUUGGUUGCCUGUGUCCAAAGGGCUUACUUGUACAUGUGUGCAGUGCUGGGUUAGCUGGCAGAAAAUAUCACAUUUCCAAACCCUCUGCAAGGAAUCAGUGCUGAAGUUCUGCCUCCCUGAUCUUGUAUUGAUGUUUCCUUUGCUAAUGGCAUGUUAGAACACAAGUUUUAUUUACCCAGGAUAAUAUUUCAUUUUGUCCAUGUGCUGAGGUGAUAAAGUACUUAAAUACAUUGGAUGAUCUUUUCCUAAUGCCAUUUGGUGUGUUUAUGUUGUGUUGCCAUUUUUUAGAGAUAAAAAGAGGCUGAAAGAGCACCAGAGCAUGGAAGAGAUACUUAUGAGUGUUGGGCCAUCAUCAGAGGAAAAAAGAGAGACAAAUAUGAAAAAGAAUGAGUGCUGUGUUUAGUACUUUCUUCUCAUCCUUCACACGGGCAUUUCUGGAAGAGUUCUGGUGUGAUACAGUGUGGUUAAGAUAAGCAGUGGCUGCAAAAGUGCAUAAAAAGUUAGAGAUGACCGACUGCGAUUUUUGCCCAGCCACCUCACAGUGGUGCUUCUCUUAGUGGUCCCUCAUUCAUUUGGACAAAGUAUCUUAGCACGAUAGGAUGUGAAACUUGGCCAUGAGGGGAGGUACACAGAUAAUUUGCUGGUUCUUUCAGCACUUGGAGAAGUUGAUUAUCAUCUGAGAAAGAUUCUCAAAUAUUGUUGAGUGCUGGUUCAAAUGCGACAUAUAAAUGAAGUGAGUUGGGGCUGUCUGCUGAUAUCCUCUAAAGCUACACAGCAGUGCUUCUACAAGAAGUAAGUGCCAGGCAAAGAAACCUGACUUACACAAGUGCAACGUUAUGGACGUGAAAACAAUCAAUGUCCAGAAUGAAAGGAGGCCAGAGAAAUAGUGGGACUCCCAUCACCCCUGUUCUAUUUUAAGGAAUGGUUGCUAGAUAAUGCCAUUCAUGGAGAGUGAAGAUGAAUGUUCUCCCAGUGAUACUUUACAAUAUUUUCAGUGGUAUAUUUGCUCAGCUUUGUAAAAUCCUGAUACAAGGGAACAAGUAAUAUGCAUCAAGUUUAUCGAAGCUCAUUAAUUUGAUGAAAUAUAUUGGAAGGAUUGAUUUAUUCACAAUAUUAAACAGCUACUUACGUGAAACUCUGCUUUCUGACUGGUAACGUGAGAACACACAUUGGUUGCUUGCUAUUUUGUUAAUACUUUCACAAAACCACAUCAGCCUCUUUGUUUUUCUGCUGUUUCUCACAGUUCAGCAGACAGCAACAUGCACUUAACAAAAAUAGAGAGGCUUAGAGACAUGUGCAAGAGACAGCUUCAGAAAAACUCUCAAGACAUGCUAAUCAUCUCUAAGAAGAAAAUAUGUUAUUGGCCUAGUAACCAAGGAACAGACAAAGCUUCCAGGAGAUAUGCAGACUUUAAAACAAUCUGCAGUAUAAUUCCACAUAAAUGGCACCAAAACAAUCUCCAAGGGAGUUGCUGCAUCAUUUUGUCACAGCUCAGCACAACACUUGGUCACUAAAUGAUGCAGCUCUUUGAUAUCUCAUUCCCAUUUUGGUUUGCUUAGGCAAAUCCAGAUGAUCUCUGCCCUGUGCAUCAGUGGAUGCUACAAUCAUUAUGGCUGUGCUCAGGCCCCCAUUCCACAGGAAGAACCACUGGAAUUGUUUACUAUGGAGAAAAGGAGGCUGAAGGGAGACCUUAUUGCUCUCUUCCAGUACCUGAAAGGUGAUUGCAGUGGGAGCAGGGCUGGUCUCUUCUCACUGGUGACAGGACGAGGGGAAAUGGCCCCAAGUUGCACCAGGGGAGGUUUAGGUUGGAUAUCAGGAAAAACUUCUCUACUGAAAGGGCUGUUAAGCACAGGAAUAGGCUCCCCAGGGAGGUGGUUGAGUCACCAUCCCUGAAUGUGUUUAAAAACCAUCUGGAUGUGGUGCUCAGAGAUAUGAUUUAGUGGAGGGUUGUUAGAGUUAGGGUAGCAUGAUUAGGCUGUGGUUGGACUUGAUGAUCUUUAAGGUCUUUUCCAACCUGAGCAAUUCUACGGUUCUAUGAUUCUAUGAUUCCUGCUCUGGUCUUGGCCAGCACAGAUCACUAACUCCAACCCCUGGCACCUGCACCAUCCCACCAUUCCUUCUGCAGAUGUGAAAUUCAGCAUGAGCAAAACUCACCCAGGUCUAGGUCAUAACAAGCCCUAGGUUAGAAAAACGUGGUGUUGUCAAUUUUAGUUGGUGUUUUGACUAAAUAUGCAAGGAUUAAUGGUACAAGUGGUUAUUCCAGCAUAUCUGAGAGGCCGUAUCCUCUGGAAAGGUGAACAAACAGCAUGACAGUGGCGGUGGGCUGCCUGGCAUGGGGUGGGUUCUUGUUCAAAUAGCGUCCUCCUCUCACCAAGCAAUAUCUGCCCGUGGUCUAAUAUUGAGUUAAACUGUUCUUACCUUAAAUAAAUGAAAGAUGUCUUAGUGCUUCAUUAUUGCAUAU
rnacentral:lncRNA from 1 species